CCUCGUGAUCCGCCUGCCUCGGCCUCCAAAAGUUCCGGCAUUGAGAUUUUUUUUCUUUUCUAAGAGACAAAGUUUUUGAGCGAGGGGCGAAGCGAACCCUGUGGACGGGUGGCAGUUGUCAGGGCUGUUGAGGUGGCAGCGACUCUGCGCCCCCGGCUCUGGAUGGAGAUGGGGCCGCAUCCCCGGCCGGGGCACUGCUGCAAGCCUGGCGGGCAGCUGGACAUGAACCACGGCUUCGUGCUCCAUAAACGAUGGAACCAGAUCGCCCAGGACGACCACAACAAGAAGGUGAAGCAGGUGGCCAAGGAGAAGGUGAGGAGGCGGCACACGCCCGCGCCGACGCGGCCCCACAAGCCAGACCUGCAGGUGUACCUGCCGCGACACCGAGAUGUCUCUGCCCACCCACGCAACCCAGACUACGAAGAAUCCGGUGAAAGCAGCAGUAGCGGAGGCUCCGAGCUGGAGCCUUCUAGCCACCAGCUCUUCUGCUUAGAGUACGAGGCAGACAGUGGAGAGGUCACAUCAGUUUUCGUGUAUCUGGGCGAUGACCCGGGAAGGGUGAGUGAGGAGGUGUCAGCACGCACGCCUCUGGAUCCACCCGUGCAAGAAGCCCUCAAGUUGCAUAUCCAGGAGGAGACUGCAAAGCGCCAGAGCCGACGCUGACCAUAGUGAAGGCGUUCUCUCCAGGCUGGAGUCACUGCACUCGGAAGAAUUCUGCCCAGGGAGCUCAUACUUAGUUUGGGGGUAUCAGGACCAGUUUGUCUGACCUUGAGAUCCCCAGAGGUGCUGCAUCCAUAGGGUGUUGCAGGACUACACCUGGCCUGCCUUGCAAUCUUUCUUUCUUAUAUGUUGACCCAUUUGCCCAGGCUGAUAUUCUGGAAUUUUUUUUUGAGAGUUUUGUACGGCUAACGUGGUGUUCUAGAAGCAGAGACUCCAGGGAGAACCAGGACUUAUGAAGCCUCACACCAACAUGGUGCCUUCUCAGCAACGUCAUAUGCCUGGCUGCGGCUGUUCCACUCAGCUGCAUGAGCCAUGCUUGUUACUUUAUGGUUCUUCUGUGCUUUUGCUCAUUUCUACCCAUGUAUUCAUAGACUUUUUUCGGCCCUUUUUCUUUGUUCCUUUCCCUCAUCUUUCUGCCUUAGGUAGAAUCCAUCCGUUCUCCUCCCCCUUCAACAUGACUGUGUACCUCCAGCUGCUCAGGACUUUGGAGGUGGGGGGGUUCUGGAGAUCUACCCUUCUAACAAACUCUCCAAGUAUUUCUCAUACCAAUAAAGUGGGAGACCUAAAAAAAAAAAAAAAGUCUUGCCCUGUUACUUGGGCUGGAGAACA